rnacentral:misc_RNA from 1 species
AUAAUAAAUACAAGGCGUUAAUGAUAAUGGGAUGGUCAGUUGCCGGUUCGUUUGUUGUAAUAUUGUUGGUCGGUGGAGUGAUCUCGUUUUGCAUUUUCAAGAACAGACAAAAAAACGAUGGUUCCUCGAGAGAUACGAAUAGAAUAGAUCCAGAAAAUCCAGCUCCACAUCAUGAUGAAGGCGGCAUAGAACCUAGUCCACCACAAGAUCAGGUCGAAGAGAUAGAAAAUGAUACACCCAGAAAUCAGAAUGGAGGAGAAGCAGGAAAUGAACCAGCCAGAAGUCAGGUUGCAGGCAA